GCAGGAAGGAAGGGUUCUUCUUUUUACAGGGAAUCAGUGUAACUCAAGGGAAGUCAGCCUCUAGGGCAGGAAAGCUCGGGCCAGAAUUGUAAAGGCUCCAGUCCCAUGGAGGAAGUGCAAGAAAAUCCUAUUUGCUGACGUGCAAAAGGCUUUGUAAGCCAGAGCCCUCAGCCUGAAAUCGCUUGAUUUGUGGAUCCUUGCGAUUAAGUUGAACUGAAUGACAUGCAAAGCUGGCAAUUGAGAUAAAGAAUAACUCCAGGCCAGGGAAUGGAGGCCACUAAGAUCUGAAAACAAAGGCUGCUAAUCUUGCGCUCAUCAUCUUUGAACAGCUAAUGCUAAAGUCCAGGGUCGUGUUAGAAGCCUCAGUCAUGAUCAGGACCCCAUUGUGGUACAAAAUCAUAAACCAGACAGGAUUUUCGGCCGGCAUGAUAAUGCCUGCACACUUGUUGUGAAGAUUAACUGGCUUAACUACUGAG